rnacentral:rRNA from 1 species
GAUGAACGCUGGCGGCGUGCCUAACACAUGCAAGUCGAGCGAACGGACGAGAAGUUUGCUUCUCUGAUGUUAGCGGCGGACGGGUGAGUCACACGUGGAUAACCUACCUAUAAGACUGGGAUAACUUCGGGAAACCGGAGCUAAUACCGGAUAAUAUUUUGAACCGCAUUGUUCAAAAGUGAAAGACGGUCUUGCUGUCACUUAUAGAUGGAUACGCGCUGCAUUAGCUAGUUGGUAAGGUAACGGCUUACCAAGGCAACGAUGCAUAGCCGACCUGAGAGAGUGAUCGGCCACACUGGAACUGAGACACGGUCCAGACUCCUGCGGGAGGCAGCAGUAGGGAAUCUUCCGCAAUGGGCGAAAGCGUGACGGAGCAACGCCGCGUGAGUGAUGAAGGUCUUCGGAUCGUAAAGCUCUGUUAUUAGGGAAGAACAUAUGUGUAAGUAGCUGUGCACAUCUUGACGGUACCUAAUCAGAAAGCCACGGCUAACUACGUG